rnacentral:rRNA from 1 species
GAUGAACGCUGGCGGCGUGCCUAAUACAUGCAAGUCGAGCGAACAGACGAGGAGCUUGCUCCUCUGACGUUAGCGGCGGACGGGUGAGUAACACGUGGAUAACCUACCUAUAAGACUGGGAUAACUUCGGGAAACCGGAGCUAAUACCGGAUAAUAUAUUGAACCGCAUGGUUCAAUAGUGAAAGACGGUUUUGCUGUCACUUAUAGAUGGAUCCGCGCCGCAUUAGCUAGUUGGUAAGGUAACGGCUUACCAAGGCAACGAUGCGUAGCCGACCUGAGAGGGUGAUCGGCCACCCUGGAACUGAGACACGGUCCAGACUCCUACGGGAGGCAGCAGUAGGGAAUCUUCCGCAAUGGGCGAAAGCCUGACGGAGCAACGCCGCGUGAGUGAUGAAGGUCUUCGGAUCGUAAAACUCUGUUAUUAGGGAAGAGCAAAUGUGUAAGUAACUAUGCACGUCUUGACGGUACCUAAUCAGAAAGCCACGGCUAACUACGUG